rnacentral:rRNA from 1 species
GAUGAACGCUGGCGGCGUGCCUAAUACAUGCAAGUCGAGCGAACAGACGAGGAGCUUGCUCCUCUGACGUUAGCGGCGGACGGGUGAGUAACACGUGGAUAACCUACCUAUAAGACUGGGAUAACUUCGGGAAACCGGAGCUAAUACCGGAUAAUAUAUUGAACCGCAUGGUUCAAUAGUGAAAGACGGUUUUGCUGUCACUUAUAGAUGGAUCCGCGCCGCAUUAGCUAGUUGGUAAGGUAACGGCUUACCAAGGCAACGAUGCGUAGCCGACCUGAGAGGGUGAUCGGCCACACUGGAACUGAGACACGGUCCAGACUCCUACGGGAGGCAGCAGUAGGGAAUCUUCCGCAAUGGGCGAAAGCCUGACGGAGCAACGCCGCGUGAGUGAUGAAGGUCUUUGGAUCGUAAAACUCUGUUAUUAGGGAAGAACAAAUGUGUAAGUAACUAUGCACAUCUUGACGGUACCUAAUCAGAAAGCCACGGCUAACUACGUG